GAACAACGCUGGCGGCGUGCCUAACGCAUGCAAGUCGGGCGGGCGUCCCUUUCGGGGGGUGUCAGCGGCGGACGGGUGAGGAGCGCGUGGGGAACCUGCCCCGCAGUGGGGGACAACUCCGGGAAACCGGGGCUGAUACCGCAUGGGCUCGCCCCUUGGACGGGGGGUGAGCAAAGCCGCGAGGCGCUGUGGGAGGGUCCUGCGUCCGAUUAGCUGGUUGGCGGGGUAACGGCCCACCAAGGCGACGAUCGGUCGCUGGUCUGAGAGGACGACCAGCCACAGGGGAACUGAGACACGGUCCCCACACCUACGGGUGGCAGCAGCGAGGGAUUUUCGGCAAUGGGCGCAAGCCUGACCGAGCAACGCCGCGUGCGGGAUGACGCCCUUCGGGGUGUAAACCGCUUUUCGGUGGGACGAGACUGACGGUACCACCGGAAUCAGCCUCGGCUAACUACGUGCCAGCCGCCGCCGUAAAAC
rnacentral:rRNA from 1 species